rnacentral:rRNA from 1 species
GAUGAACGCUGGCGGCGUGCCUAAUACAUGCAAGUCGAGCGAACGGACGAGAAGCUUGCUUCUCUGAUGUUAGCGGCGGACGGGUGAGUAACACGUGGAUAACCCACCUAUAAGACUGGGAUAACUUCGGGAAACCGGAGCUAAUACCGGAUAAUAUUUUGAACCGCAUGGUUCAAAAGUGAAAGACGGUCUUGCUGUCACUUAUAGAUGGAUCCGCGCUGCAUUAGCUAGUUGGUAGGGUAACGGCUUACCAAGGCAACGAUGCAUAGCCGACCUGAGAGGGUGAUCGGCCACACUGGAACUGAGACACGGUCCAGACUCCUACGGGAGGCAGCAGUAGGGAAUCUUCCGCAAUGGGCGAAAGCCUGACGGAGCAACGCCGCGUGAGUGAUGAAGGUCUUCGGAUCGUAAAACCCUGUUAUUAGGGAAGAACAUAUGUGUAAGUAACUGUGCACAUCUUGACGGUACCUAAUCAGAAAGCCACGGCUAACUACGUG